GACGAACGCUGGCGGCGUGCUUAACACAUGCAAGUCGAACGGAAAGGCCCUGCUUUUGUGGGGUGCUCGAGUGGCGAACGGGUGAGUAACACGUGAGUAACCUGCCCUUGACUUUGGGAUAACUUCAGGAAACUGGGGCUAAUACCGGAUAGGAGCUCCUGCUGCAUGGUGGGGGUUGGAAAGUUUCGGCGGUUGGGGAUGGACUCGCGGCUUAUCAGCUUGUUGGUGGGGUAGUGGCUUACCAAGGCUUUGACGGGUAGCCGGCCUGAGAGGGUGACCGGCCAAAUUGGGAAGGGGAAAGGGCCAAGAACCCUAGGGGAGAAAGAGGGGGGGAAAAUGGCAAAAGGGGGGGAAACCUGAGGAAGAAACCCCGGGGGGGGGAGGAGGGCCUUGGGGUUGAAAACCUGUUUGGCGGGGGAAGAAGGGGGGGUGAGGGUAAGGGGUAAAGAAGCACCGGAUAAAUAGGU
rnacentral:rRNA from 1 species